GCCCUCCCUUCGCCGCGCCGCGCCACCUUCCCGUCCCUCCGUCGCCGCCAUCCCCUCCCCCUGUCGCCUCCCUUCGCCGUCGCCCUCCCGUCACGCCACGGCCUCCUCUACGCCCUUCCUCCGCUGCCGCCCUUCCUUCGCCGCGCCACGCCACCAUCCCGUCCCUCCGCCGCCAGCUGCCGCCUCCUCCACUACGCCCUUUCUCCGCUGCCGCCCUCCAGUCCCACCGUCACCGUCGCCGCCGUCCUACCAACCGCCGGUUCUCGGGACGCUCGCCGUGGUGCUCCCCGCGGAGGACCCCGCGCUCUGGGAGGACGGCACCGGGGACGCCGACCUCCGCGAUGUGCUUCUCUUCCUCUACAUCCAGUCGUACAAGCGCCUCGUCCCACGCGUGCACAAGGAGUCGACCGCGGCCGCCGACGUGUGCCCAUCCACCUCCGCGCUCUCCCCCAUCCAGUUAUGCUCUGGUGAUGGAAUAUAUGAUGGACAUGGACAAUACCAAUUGUUUCCUCUGUAGUACUUCUGAUAAAUAUUUCUUGGGCCUCAGUUUGAAUUGAAAAUUCAAAAGGGAAAGCAGUGAUAUAAAGUAAUUUGGCAGUGAAUCAGUAAAGGGAAAAUCUUUUGGAUGGUGGAUGCAGACGGUUUUUCGUCAUUAGUUGAAAUAUUGUCAGUAUGAAUACUCAUUUUGGAUCAUUUCUUAUAGGAUCUGACGAGGGCAUCUAUGCUUGGAUUGCGGCAAACUAUGCUCUUGGCAUGCUUGGAGGGAUCCACACUAAACCAUCGGAAUAAUUGAUCUUGGGGGCACCUCAGCACAGCUAACAUUUGUUUCUGAUGAAGUACAUCCGCCAGAACAGGAAAUUUUACUUUUGGUGAAACAACAUAUACUCUUUAUAGCAACAGCUUUCUAAACUUUGGUCAAAAUGCAGCACAAGAAUCCUUCUGUGAAAUACUGAGGUCAAAAGAAGAGUGCUGGUAUCAAUGAUGCCAACUUGGACCAACUUUUGUACCAGAGCACCGUGGACAUUUGUUAGCAACUGAAAUUUACAUCAAAGUUCUUUGGACUGAAGCAAUCUUCAUCACUGUCGGAUUUUGUGCUUGCUGGAGAGAAAUUAUGCAGCAAGGACUUGUCUACUCUUAGACAAAAAUAUCCUAAUCAGUCAGAUGAUGAUUUUUCAUGAUAUUGCUUCUCGUCAGCAUAUAUUGUAGCUCUGCUGCACGACAGUCUUGGUGUACCGCUGGAUGACAAGAGGAAAGUAUCAGGGCACAUCAAUCUUCCUAGCUGAAAUUUACUUUUCAGUAGUCUUAUAUGCUUACCUACUUUUAAAUGCUUUUAUAUUUGCAGGAUUGAGUAUUCAAAUCAGGUCGGAGACACUCAGGUUGAAUGGGCCCUAGGGGUUUUCAUUUCAAACAUAAAAGACAAAAUCUGAGAGUCACCAGGGACAGGUAGAUCAGCCCGUAAAAGUAGAUCAUUGCUUGCUGUACUGUUGGGGGUGUUUCUUUUAGGUGGAUCACUUUGGUUGGCAAGACGGAGGAAGCUCAAGACGAAGAUCAUAUAUGACUUAGAGAAAGGUUGAUACAUAAUCACACGCGUCAGCUGAUGCUGACCAUUGUGCAGAGGAAUCAUAUAUACACAACAGGAAUAGAUUGGUAUUCUGUGUACCAUAAUGUACAAGUUCAAUUCUUUGCAUUCUUGCUCCUUGUUAAGGGCUGGGUGGCAGCCGUAGAGGAGCCAUGAAGGAUAGCUACGUGUAUGUACAGAAGCACCUGCAGAACAUUUUCUCAUGUAUUUAUUCUAUUUAUUUGAUGAUGGAAUAACCAUAGCUUUGGGUCA